GUGCCAGCCGCCGCGGUACUACCGGCAGCCCGAGUGAUGGCCGAUAUUAUUGGGCCUAAAGCGUCCGUAGCUGGCCGAACAAGUCCGUCGGGAAAUCCACGUGCUUAACGCGUGGGCGACCGGCGGAAACUGUUCAGCUUGGGGCCGGAGGACCCGAGGGGUACGUCCGGGGUAGGAGUGAAAUCCCAUAAUCCCGCACGGACCACCGAUGGCGAAAGCACUUCGAGAAAACGGAUCCGACAGUGAGGGACGAAAGCCAGGGUCUCCAACCGGAUUAGAUACCCUAGUAGUCC
rnacentral:rRNA from 1 species